rnacentral:rRNA from 1 species
CAGCCGCCGCGGUAAUACCCGCAGCCCGAGUGGUGGUCGAUUAUAUUGAGUCUAAAACGUUCGUAGCCGGUCUGAUAGAUCCUUGGGUAAAUCGGGCUGCUUAACAGUCCGAAGUCCGAGGAGACCGUCAGGCUUGGGAUCGGGAGAGGUAAGAGGUACUUCAGGGGUAGGGGUAAAAUCCUGUAAUCCUUGGAGGACCACCGGUGGCGAAGGCGUCUUACUAGAACGAAUCCGACGGUGAGGGACGAAGCCCUAGGUCGCAAACGGGAUUAGAUACCCCGGUAGUCUAGGGUGUAAACGCUGCAGACUUGGUGUUGGAGGUCCUACGGGGACAUUCAGUGCCGGAGAGAAGUUGUUAAGUCUGCUACUUGGGGAGUACGUCCGCAAGGAUGAAACUUAAAGGAAUUGGCGGGGGAGCACCGCAACGGGAGGAGCGUGCGGUUUAAUUGGAUUCAACACCGGAAAACUCACCAAGGGAGACCAUCACAUGAAAGCCAGGCUAAUGACUUUGCUCGAUUCUUGGAGAGGAGGUGCAUGGCC